rnacentral:rRNA from 1 species
GAUGAACGCUGGCGGCGUGCUUAACACAUGCAAGUCGAACGAUGAUCCCCAGCUUGCUGGGGGGAUUAGUGGCGAACGGGUGAGUAACACGUGAGUAACCUGCCCUUGACUCUGGGAUAAGCCUGGGAAACUGGGUCUAAUACCGGAUAUGACCUUCCAUCGCAUGGUGGUUGGUGGAACGCUUUUGUGGUUUUGGAUGGACUCGCGUCCUAUCAGCUUGUUGGUGGGGUAAUGGCCUACCAAGGCGACGACGGGUAGCCGGCCUGAGAGGGUGACCGGCCACACUGGGACUGAGACACGGCCCAGACUCCUACGGGAGGCAGCAGUGGGGAAUAUUGCACAAUGGGCGCAAGCCUGAUGCAGCGACGCCGCGUGAGGGAUGACGGCCUUCGGGUUGUAAACCUCUUUCAGUAGGGAAGAAGCGUAAGUGACGGUACCUGCAGAAGAAGCGCCGGCUAACUACGUGCCAGCAGCCGCAGUAAAAC